rnacentral:lncRNA from 1 species
UUGGCAGGAGGUGCCUUCGAUGGAGCCUCAAUGAACCCAGCUGUUUCAUUCGGACCAGCCUUGGUUAGCUGGACAUGGGACAACCACUGGAUCUACUGGGUCGGACCCCUUAUCGGUGGUGGGCUCGCUGGUCUCAUCUACGAGUUCAUCUUCAUCAGCAACACCCACGAGCAGCUCCCAACCACCGAUUAUUAAGCCUAAUCAGGGUUUAAUUGAUUUGUCUGUCACUUUGAAACCGG